AUUUCAGUAAUUUAGCCUAUAUAAACAUAGGAAUUUUGACCGUUGUCGGAGAGAAGUUUGUUCACGGUGUUUGUAGCUAAGGCUAGCUAUGCUGCUAUCUACAACAGAAGCAUGCGCGCGUAGUCCGAGCCUAGUGCCUGAGGCCACGAUUUAUAUCACCUUAAAGUUCACAUUGAAGUUAAAACAAACUUAAAGUGAACCGUUUUCAGUUUAUUACUUUGUUGCGCACUUCUCGUUCAUAGGGGUGUGCAGUUUCUGGCCGGCGAAUAAGUAGCCUAUACAAUCCAAGUGCUUUGUUUUACACGUCAGACUAAUCAAAGCUUACCACCGUGUAUCUUUAACACUAAAUAACCGGUUACUAACCGUUGCACGGCGUUUUACGGUAAGAUAAUCGUUCAGAUGUGACCCAGGGUUGGACUGGCAUAGUGGCCUACAUUUAAAUAUGCAGGGAGUGGAGAGCAUUGCUGAGGUCGGUGAACGGCCUGCAGACCCUGUUAAUCUCGACUGUGUCCUCAAACAGCUCGACUCCAUGUUGGACUGCAUGAAAGUUCUGGAAGUGGAGACUCAGCUCCUCCAGUGCAACCUGACCACCUGCUUCACCCACCCAGACAAGAUGGCAGCCCUGGCAGAGGGGAGGUGGCCGUGUGUGAAGAAGCCGUUCUGUGAGUUGAUUGGUGGAGAAGCCUCACCUGUCCCACCUGUCUGAGAUAAUGCUCCGCCUGCUCGCGAGUCACCUGACCCAUGUACCACCUGGGGUCUGGGUCCUGGCAGCGAGACAGACGGACAGACAGACAGACAGAAUUACAGUCCUGCGUCCACUUUCACCAGUUUAAUCAGAGCUCAGAAAGCAAGUAUUAUUCAUGUUUCUAAUCUCAUCUGUGUCAUUAUUGUAAUGGAUCCAUGUUAUUCCUUGUUUGUUAUGGACUGCUGAAUGUCACCCUGUGGAACACAUUCACUAUUAAAGUAUUUAGAGAUGGAA